rnacentral:rRNA from 1 species
GGAUCAUUAAAGAGUUUAAUAAAACUCCUAAACCCCUGUGAACUUACUGGUGUUUGGCUCGCCAGAUAUAGUCUGGUCCGUAAGCAAAUCGACUGCCUGCCUGUGUAACAGGCAGGUAAGCUUUUGUCGCGGGGUCCCGGAUCAACCCGGGCUAGAUAGCCACUUAACUAUAUACUUUUUAUAAAAUCUGUGAACUUACUAGGUUGGAUUCUCGCCAGAGAUAGUCUGGUUUCUGCUUCGCGGAUCGCCUACCCGUGACACCUGUCACAGGCAGGUAUGCUUCUGCCGCGGGUCCGUAAGUAAAUCAUCUGUUUCGCAAGGGACGGCGAUUUACCUGUGGAAGAGGUCCGCUAACUAUAUUCUUAGUAUAGUUUGUUCACUAGAUCAAACAUUCUGAAUAAAAACUUAAACUAGUUAAAACUUUCAACAACGGAUCUCUUGGUUCUGGCAUCGAUGAAGAACGCAGCGAAAUGCGAUAAGUAAUGUGAAUUGCAGAAUUCAGUGAAUCAUCGAAUCUUUGAACGCACAUUGCGCCCAUUAGUAUUCUAGUGGGCAUGCCUGUUCGAGCGUCAUUUCAACCCUUAAGCCCCUGUUGCUUAGCGUUGGGAGCCUACAGCCUGCUGUAGCUCCUUAAAGGUAGUGGCGGAGUCGGUUCACACUCUAGACGUAGUAAAAUCUUUAUCUCGCCUAUGGAUGAGCCGGCGCCUUGCCGUAAAACCCCUAAUCUUUCACAAGGUUGACCUCGGAUCAGGUAGGAAUACCCGCUGAACUUAAGCAUAUCAAUAAGCGGAGGAAAAGAAACCAACAGGGAUUGCCCUAGUAACGGCGAGUGAAGCGGCAACAGCUCAAAUUUGAAAUCUGGCCUUCGGGUCCGAGUUGUAAUUUGCAGAGGAUGCUUUGGGCGCGGUGCCUUCCGAGUUCCCUGGAACGGGACGCCUUAGAGGGUGAGAGCCCCGUACGGUUGGACACCAAGCCUCUGUAAAGCUCCUUCGACGAGUCGAGUAGUUUGGGAAUGCUGCUCUAAAUGGGAGGUAAAUUUCUUCUAAAGCUAAAUAUUGGCCAGAGACCGAUAGCGCACAAGUAGAGUGAUCGAAAGAUGAAAAGCACUUUGAAAAGAGGGUUAAAUAGCACGUGAAAUUGUUGAAAGGGAAGCGUUUACGACCAGACCUUUUCGCAGCGGAUCAUCCGGUGUUCUCACCGGUGCACUUCGCUGGGUUGAGGCCAGCAUCGGUUUCCGCAGGGGGAUAAAAGCCUGGGGAACGUAGCUCCCUCGGGAGUGUUAUAGCCCCUCGCAUAAUACCCUUGCGGGGACCGAGGACCGC